rnacentral:rRNA from 1 species
GACGAACGCUGGCGGCGUGCCUAAUACAUGCAAGUUGAGCGCUGAAGGUUGGUACUUGUACCAACUGGAUGAGCAGCGAACGGGUGAGUAACGCGUGGGGAAUCUGCCUUUGAGCGGGGGACAACAUUUGGAAACGAAUGCUAAUACCGCAUAAAAACUUUAAACACAAGUUUUAAGUUUGAAAGAUGCAAUUGCAUCACUCAAAGAUGAUCCCGCGUUGUAUUAGCUAGUUGGUGAGGUAAAGGCUCACCAAGGCGAUGAUACAUAGCCGACCUGAGAGGGUGAUCGGCCACAUUGGGACUGAGACACGGCCCAAACUCCUACGGGAGGCAGCAGUAGGGAAUCUUCGGCAAUAGACGAAAGUCCGACCGAGCAACGCCGCGUGAGUGAAGAAGGUUUUCGGAUCGUAAAACUCUGUUGGUAGAGAAGAACGUUGGUGAGAGUGGAAAGCUCAUCAAGUGACGGUAACUACCCAGAAAGGGACGGCUAACUACGUG